UGGGGAAUAUUGCACAAUGGAGGGAACUCUGAUGCAGCGACGCCGCGUGAACGAAGAAGGCUUUCGAGUCGUAAAGUUCUUUUAUAUGGGAAGAUAAUGAAGGUACCAUAAGAAAAAGCCCCGGCUAACUACGUGCUAGCAGCCGCGGUAAUCCGUAGGGGGCUAGCGUUGUCCGGAAUCACUGGGCGUAAAGGGUUCGCAGGCGGAAAUGCAAGUCAGGUGUAAAAGGCAGUAGCUUAACUACUGUAAGCAUUUGAACCUGCAUAUCUUGAGAAGAGUAGAGGUAAGUGGAAUUUUUAGUGUAGCGGUGAAAUGCGUAGAUAUUAAAAAGAAUACCGGUGGCGAAGGCGACUUACUGGGCUCAUUCUGACGCUGAGGAACGAAAGCGUAGGUAGCAAACAGG
rnacentral:rRNA from 1 species